rnacentral:rRNA from 1 species
AUGUCGACCGCCGGAGGCGCCGACGACGGGCCGGAGCGUCGCCUGGUCUUCGCCUUCUACCUCACCGGCCACGGCUUCGGCCACGCCACCCGCGCCAUCGAGGUGGUGCGGCACCUGAUCGCGGCGGGGCACGAGGUGCACGUUUCCACGGCGGUGCCGGAGUUCGUCUUCACCGCCGAGCUGCGCUCCCCCGGCCUCCACGUCCGCAAGGUCUUGCUCGACUGCGGCGCCGUCCAGUCCGACCCCCUCACCGUCGAUCCCCUCGCCACCCUCGAGAAGUACCAUCAGACCGCCGUGGUGCCCCGCGAGUCGAUCCUGAGGACUGAGGCGGAGUGGCUGCGCUCCGUCAAGGCAGACCUAGUGGUCUCGGAUGUUGUUCCUGUGGUGUGCAGGGCGGCCGCAGAUGCCGGUAUCCGCUCGGUGUGCAUUGGGAAUUUUAGUUGGGACUCCAUAUAUGCAGAAUACAUCAUGGCAGCUGGGUAUCAUCACCGAUCUAUUGUCUGGCAGAUAGCAGAGGAUUAUUCCAAUUGUGAGACCUUACUUCGACUACCUGGAUAUUGCCCUAUGCCGGCUUUCCGUGAUGUCACUGAUGUGCCUUUGGUGGUAAGAGGGUUGCGCAAAUCCAGAUCUGAGGUCAGGAAGGACCUUGGAAUUGCGGAGAGCACUAAGGUGGUCAUUUUUAAUUUUGGUGGACAGCCAGCAGGAUGGAAACUGAAGCAAGAAUGGCUGCCUGAUGGCUGGAUCUGUUUGGUCUGUGGUACAUCUGAUUCUCAAGAGGUUCCUCCAAACUUCAUUAAGCUUGAGAAAGAUACUUACACACCAGAUGUUAUGGCUGCAUCUGACUGUAUGCUAGGAAAAAUUGGGUAUGGAACGGCAAGUGAAGCUUUGGCAUACAAACUACCAUUUGUGUUCGUUCGCAGAGAUUAUUUUAACGAGGAGCCAUUUCUGCGGAAUUUGCUUGAGCACCACCAAAGCAGCAUUGAGAUGAUUAGAAGGGAUUUCCUUGCUGGGCACUGGAAACCAUAUCUACUCCGUGCUCUCACACUUCAACCUUCCUAUGAUGGCCCAACAAAUGGUGGCCAAGUGGCUGCUCGGAUCCUUCAGGACAUUGCUGUUGGAAAGAAGUGUGCUUCUGACAAAUUUAAUGGAGCAAGACGAUUGCAAGAUGCAAUAGUGUUAGGAUAUCAACUACAAAGGACUCCUGGGAAAGAUGUAGGAAUUCCUGACUGGUAUUCUCUUAAUGGCACAGAAAUUGGUGCCCAUCCAAUCAUAGAAAAUACUGAAAAGAUCAAAACGGCAGAAUCAUGCUGUGAAGACUUUGAGAUACUCCAUGGGGACUUGCAAGGAUUAACAGAUACCAUGGCCUUUUUGAAGAGCUUAUCUGGACUUACUGGAAAUGAAUUGAAGGAUUCUGAGGUGCAAUCCCGAGAAAGAACUGCUGCAUCCGUGCUCUUUGACUGGGAGAGGGAAAUAUAUGUAGCAAGGGCGCCUGGAAGGUUAGAUGUCAUGGGUGGCAUUGCAGACUAUUCAGGAAGUCUUGUUUUGCAGAUGCCUCUUCGGGAAGCCUGCCAUGUUGCUGUUCAGAGAAACCAUCCUAGCAAGCAGAAGCUAUGGAAGCAUGUACAAGCAAGACAGCUUGAGAACACAGGGGUGGUACCUGUGGUACAAAUUGUUUCAUUUGGUUCUGAAUUGAGUAAUCGUGCACCAACUUUCGAUAUGGACCUGUCCGAUUUUAUGGAUGGUGACAAACCAAUAUCGUAUGAAAAAGCCAGAGAGUUUUUCUGCCAGGACCCAUCACAAAAAUGGGCUGCUUAUGUCUCCGGAACAAUUUUAAUCUUGAUGACUGAGCUAGGCGUCCAGUUCACUGACAGCAUGAGCAUUCUGGUUUCUUCUGCUGUGCCAGAAGGCAAAGGUGUUUCUUCUUCUGCGUCAGUGGAGGUUGCCACGAUGUCUGCUAUUUCAGCUGCCUAUGGUUUAAACAUUACUCCAAGGGAUCUUGCUUUGCUUUGUCAAAAGGUUGAGAAUCAUGUUGUUGGAGCUCCAUGUGGGGUCAUGGACCAAAUGGCAUCUGCUUGUGGAGAAGCUAACAAACUCCUUGCAAUGGUGUGCCAGCCUGCAGAAGUGAAGGAAUUGGUUAUGAUUCCAUCUCAUAUUCGAUUUUGGGGUCUAGACUCUGGUAUACGACAUAGUGUCGGUGGGGGAGAUUAUGGAUCUGUAAGGGUAGGCACUUAUAUGGGACGAAAGAUGAUUAAGUGUGCAGCAUCCGACUUAGUAUCAGUAUCCUCAACUUCAGAUGCCCCUGCUCAGUCUGAUGAUUAUAAAGAAAAGGGAAGGGAUGUACUGAAGUCUGAAGCUUCCAUGGAGUAUUUGUGCAAGCUGCCACCUCACAGAUAUGAAGCUGCUUAUUCAAAAGAUAUUCCGGAGACCAUCACUGGAGGUGCAUUUUUAGAGAAAUAUGGAGACCACGAUGACAUGGUAACGGUGAUUGAUCCAAAAAGAUCUUACAGUGUGAAGGCGCCCACUAGACAUCCCAUAUAUGAAAACUUCAGAGUUGAGACCUUCAAAGCAUUAUUAACAGCAGCUAAUACAGAUGAGCAAUUGUCAGCCCUUGGAGAACUUAUGUACCAGUGCCACUACAGCUACAAUGCAUGCGGGCUUGGUUCUGACGGCACAGAGAGGCUGGUUAAUCUAGUGCAAGAAAUGCAGCACAGAAAGACGCCGGAAAAUGGAGGUCCUAAUCUGUACGGUGCGAAGAUUACGGGUGGAGGGUCUGGUGGCUCCGUCUGUGUUAUUGGGAAGAACUGCCUCCAAAGCGCUGAAGAGAUCGCCGAGAUUCAGCAAAGGUACAAGGCGGCCACGGGAUACCUACCGAUCGUCUUCGACGGGUCGUCUCCAGGCGCCGGCAAGUUUGGUUACCUGAAGAUCCGACGGCGGCGUCCCAAGUUGACAAUCCCCGAAUGA